rnacentral:snRNA from 1 species
GUGUUUGCUUCAGUAGCACAUACACUAAAACUGGAUACAGAGAAGAUCAGCAUAGUCCCUUGCAAGGAGGACAAACAUUCAUGAAGCACUUAUAUUUUUG